rnacentral:rRNA from 1 species
GAUCCUGGCUCAGGAUGAACGCUAGCUACAGGCUUAACACAUGCAAGUCGAGGGGAAACGAUAUUGGAAGCUUGCUUCCGAUAGGCGUCGACCGGCGCACGGGUGAGUAACGCGUAUCCAACCUGCCCACCACUUGGGGAUAACCUUGCGAAAGUAAGACUAAUACCCAAUGACGUCUCUAGAAGACAUCUGAAAGAGAUUAAAGAUUUAUCGGUGAUGGAUGGGGAUGCGUCUGAUUAGCUUGUUGGCGGGGUAACGGCCCACCAAGGCGACGAUCAGUAGGGGUUCUGAGAGGAAGGUCCCCCACAUUGGAACUGAGACACGGUCCAAACUCCUACGGGAGGCAGCAGUGAGGAAUAUUGGUCAAUGGACGAGAGUCUGAACCAGCCAAGUAGCGUGCAGGAUGACGGCCCUAUGGGUUGUAAACUGCUUUUAUAAGGGAAUAAAGUGAGUCUCGUGAGACUUUUUGCAUGUACCUUAUGAAUAAGGACCGGCUAAUUCCGUG